rnacentral:rRNA from 1 species
UACGAGAGGCCCAAACGUUAUUCGGAAUUACUGGGCUUAAAGAGUUCGUAGGCGGCAUUGCAAGUAGGGUGUGAAAGCCCUCGGCUCAACCGAAGAAUUGCGCUCUAAACUGCAGUGCUCGAGGAAGCUAGAGGUGAGCAGAACAGAUGGUGGAGCGGUGAAAUGCGUUGAUAUCAUCUGGAAUACCGGAGGCGAAGGCGGCUCACUGGGGCUUUUCUGACGCUGAGGAACGAAAGCCAGGGUAGCGAACGGG